rnacentral:rRNA from 1 species
GGGGAAUAUUGGACAAUGGACCAAAAGUCUGAUCCAGCAAUUCUGUGUGCUUGAUGAAGGCCUUCGGGUUGUAAAGAGCUUUAAGUAGGGAAGAAGAAAGUGACGGUACCUACAGAAUAAGCGACGGCUAAAUACGUGCCAGCAGCCGCGGUAAUACGUAUGUCGCAAGCGUUAUCCGGAAUUAUUGGGCAUAAAGGGCGUCUAGGCGGUUUAGAAAGUCUGAUGUGAAAAUGCGGGGCUCAACCCCGUAUUGCGUUGGAAGCUACUAGACUAGAGUAUUGGAGAGGUAAGCGGAACUACAAGUGUAGAGGUGAAAUUCGUAGAUAUUUGUAGGAAUGCCAAUUGGGAAGCCAGCUUACUGGACAAAUACUGACGCUGAAGCGCGAAAGCUAGGGGAGCAAAC